UAAUAGCAGUAAAAAGAAGACACACGUCGAAACACAGAAUGUAAAAACAUUCUGUUUUUCGACGUGUGUCUUCUUUUUACUGCUAUAUAUAUAUAU
rnacentral:pre_miRNA from 1 species